CCCGCGGUGCAUUAGCUAGUUGGUAGGGUAAUGGCCUACCAAGGCAACGAUGCAUAGCCGACCUGAGAGGGUGAUCGGCCACACUGGGACUGAGACACGGCCCAGACUCCUACGGGAGGCAGCAGUAGGGAAUCUUCGGCAAUGGACGAAAGUCUGACCGAGCAACGCCGCGUGAGUGAAGAAGGUUUUCGGAUCGUAAAACUCUGUUGUUAGAGAAGAACAAGGAUGAGAGUAAAAUGUCAUCCCUGACGGUAU
rnacentral:rRNA from 1 species